rnacentral:rRNA from 1 species
AGCGAACGCUGGGGGCAGGCCUAACACAUGCAAGUCGAACGAACUCUUCGGAGUUAGUGGCGGACGGGUGAGUAACACGUGGGAACGUGCCUUUUGGUUCGGAAUAACUCAGGGAAACUUGUGCUAAUACCGAAUGUGCCCUUCGGGGGAAAGAUUUAUCGCCAUUAGAGCGGCCCGCGUCUGAUUAGCUAGUUGGUGAGGUAACGGCUCACCAAGGCGACGAUCAGUAGCUGGUCUGAGAGGAUGACCAGCCACACUGGGACUGAGACACGGCCCAGACUCCUACGGGAGGCAGCAGUGGGGAAUCUUGCGCAAUGGGCGAAAGCCUGACGCAGCCAUGCCGCGUGAAUGAUGAAGGUCUUAGGAUUGUAAAAUUCUUUCACCGGGGACGAUAAUGACGGUACCCGGAGAAGAAGCCCCGGCUAACUUCGUG